GAGUUUCAUGUCUAGUUGCCUUGAGACUGACAAGUGAGAGUAGUAGCCGGUUUUCAGUUCUGCAGUAAACGUUGGGUUGUGUGAAUCGCUUGAAUAGAGUAUUUCGAAAUGGGAGUUAAAAUUCACGUGGAGUACUGGGAGCUUUGAAAUUGAAAUCAAUGGACAACUGGUGUUUUCAAAGCUAGAAACUGGUGGGUUUCCCUAUGAAAAAGAUAUCAUGGAAGCCAUGGAGAAAGCAAAUGCAGGUGAAGCUGUGCAGAAGAUUACAAACAGCAGAUCUCCAUGCAUCAUCCUUUAGACUAGCAACUGAUGGUCGGUCACUCCAUCGUUUCUGGAACACAUCUGUCAUGCAAAGCCAUAUAACUACACAGAACAGUCCUUAUAAAUUCUUCUGUUAAACUCUGCAAGAGAAAUGUGCAAUUUAGCCCCACCCCAAGUGCAGACAUGUCUUUCAUUUUUCAGUUUGUUACUCAGUUUCCAUAUUAAAGUGUACUAUUCCUGUCCCUCUUUAUUUGUACUAGCAGUCUUUGUUUUUUUUUUCUGUCUGUGACACUAACAUAAUGUAAUUGGGAAGUAUAUGCAUAAUGCUAGUGAGGAUGCUCUUUUACUUGCAACAGGCAGCCCCUACAUGUUCCUUUGCUAAUCUCUGAACCGCACUGUGUAGCAGUUUACAGAUUACUAGAGUUUGUACAUCCAGUAAAGUAAAAUCAGUCAGGCUUUCUUGCUUCUUGUUUUUCACAGCAAGAUGCACAAAAGUUUGUCAAUGUCUUAAAUUAUUUAACUUUUUUUUACUAGAUGUUUUUUUUUUUGUAUGAGCUGUUGCACUUCAUGAACCUUAUGUAAGCAAGUACUACACAUGAAUAAAUAUUUGUGUUUCCUGCAAGAAACUGAGUGAAAAACCAACAUGGAGCAUGCUGAACAUGGAGUUGCUUGUGAGUUAACAGAUAAGCGAGUUUUGUCCUUCAAAAGAGAAAUGUAAUUAAUGCAUUGUUUCUAAACCAUGUUGCAUGUAUUUCAGAGAUGCCUUGCACUGUGUUUUGAACAUGUAUUUAAGUUUCAGAGAUGUCAGGUAGUCCAGGUAUACCUUAGAGAAACAUCAGUGUUCAUUUUGAGAAAUUGGGCCCUUCUGUAAACUGUUCAUUUUGAGAAAUCAGUCCCUUCCUUAAACUGUCUGGUAAUGCAGUAAAAGGCCCCCUUAUCAGACAAAUAAUUUUAUCAAACCUACUUCAGAGUGUACUAUAUUGUGUAGAAUGUCUUCAACAGCAGCUUAGGUCCUUGGAGCAUUCAUAAAAGAAAAUUGGACAGUAAACAAAAAAAAAAGAAAAGAAAGCAAAUCAAUGGUGUUUGAAAACAAAAUAGAAAGUGAAGUAAAUUUAAAAUUUCCCUACAUGUAAAAAUACAAUUGUAGUUCUCUGUGUGUUGCUUAAAAUGUGUUUAUGCACUGGCAUAGUAAUACCGUUUCUUUAUCUUACAUUUGCUAGGUGUUAGCCAUGAGCUUUGUUGUCAAGGUUACAAUGCAAUUGCAGAGUUGCACGGAGGUGUAGUGCCUUCAGAAUUACUCUGCAUUGUCCAUAUUCUAAUCUUGGCAAUUUUUUAAACAGAUGGUGUAGGCUUAUAUGUAUUCUAGAAUAUUCUUAUCACAUUUUUUGUGCUUUCUAGUCACUCAGAAAGAUUACACUGUGUACAUGUAGACUACACUUUGUGGUAACCUUUAUGAAUCCCUGUCAAUAUUUAAAGCUGCUAGAAUAUCAGUAGGGCAACUAAAAUUAGGAGGAAGAAGGUGUGAGUUAUGCCUGUGUUGUCUUUUCACUCAGAACUGUGAACACUUAGUGUAGGUAUUCUUGAAUCCCGGGGUAUUUUUAUAGCAACACUUUAUAAAAGUCAGUCUGUACUUAAUUUCUCCAGAUGCACUGAAUUUAUGGCUCACUUUCUUUAUACCAUACCUACAGAUGAUAAGGAAAAUAAUGGUUUGUCUUUCAGCUAAAUAAGCAAAUGGUUCUGUUUAUGACUAUUUUAACUGUAAAAAAAAAAGUUAAAAUGUGAUGUGCUAGAACCUGCUUAAAAUAAAGCUGAAUUUAAGGCA